UACGUAGGUAGCAAGCGUUGUCCGGAUUUAUUGGGCGUAAAGCGAGCGCAGGUGGUUUCUUAAGUCUGAUGUGAAAGCCCACGGCUCAACCGUGGAAGGUCAUUGGAAACUGGGGAACUUGAAUGCAGAAGAGGAGAGUGGAAUUCCAUGUGUAGCGGUGAAAUGCGUAGAUAUAUGGAGGAACACCAGUGGCGAAGGCGACUCUCUGGUCUGUUAUUGACACUGAGGCACGAAAGCGUGGGGAGCAAACAGGAUUAGA
rnacentral:rRNA from 1 species